GACCUGAUCGCAGUUCGCCAUCACGUACAAGAUGUCGGCAGGUGACAUCAUCGUCUUCGACAACAACCGCGUGUUGCACGGCAGGAAGGGAUUCCAGAUGACCGGGGGCGAGCGGCACCUGGAGGGCGGUUACUGGGACUGGGACGAGGUCAGGUCACGGAGGCGCGUGCUGCUGGCUGAGAGUGACCUGAACUGAAACAUGAAAUGGGAUAUUAGAAUUAGAAUUAUUCGUAUACUUGACAUGCAUAAAUAAAGAAAUAAAUGCAUAUUUGUCAUAGACAUGCAUAUCAACCCGGUAAAUAGAUGAUUAAAUAUACAUCUAUCAGAUAUAUAGACAGAUAUGCCUUUAUUUCUGCAUCUGUAUCUAUGAAAGAUCAGUGGGUCGGGCCUGGCACAAUUUUAACAAACCGGCUGAUAGUGUAAAUUAUUAUUAUUAUUAUUAUUAUCGCUUAUUAUUCACAACACGAAUCUUCGGUUUGGUAAACGAUGAUGAACGGGUGUUAUGGCAGGAUAUUACCGAUGUCGGAGAUGCAAUAAUUAAAGGAAAAUUAAAGUUGGUUCCAAGUUAUAAAGCAAACCAGCAGUUGUGUUAUAAAGACUGUUAAAUACUUGUGUUUUUUUCUUAUUUCAUCAGACCUUUGUGAAUAUAUACAUGGAGUAUAUAUCCAACUCACAGUUAUGUACGAAAGUUUGUCUAAACAACAAAAAUACCCCAUUUCUGAAUUUUGGACCAUAUAUAGCCAAAAAUAACACUUUAUUGUAUAUUCCUUCAUGUAUGAUGAAUAAUUGUAAGUGAAAGCACAUUUUUACCUUUAAAAUCGUAUUAUUACUAAUCCGUGCAUUCACUUUAUGUAUACAUUUUGACUCGUGAUUUUUGUCUUCUAUGAACCAAGAGCGAA